CCUGCAGCGGUUCUACUUCGCAGCACUUUUCCUCCGGAAAGCGGGAAACGAGGACUGAGCGUGGGGCUACAAACAGCUCGCAGGCUUGCAUUUUGUCCUCUGUGCUGUUCCACAUCUUCAUGAAUCCUCUGGAUCGCCUGGAACUUUAGAGUGGGGACUCCUAUCCUGAUGAUAGUCAGCUAUUUUGCUCUUUACCAUUCAGCUCCAAGUACUCUAAAUUUAAUAAUGCACAGGAUGAGAGAGAAAAGGAUGAAAAGAAUUGAGACAAAAUGUUACACGUUUCUUUAAGAAAUUUAAGCCAGGAUCUACACUGCAAAAUCUGGAAAAAUAUGAACAAUAACUAUGUUCCAAUCUACAUGAUAGUCUGGGAAAUUCAAAUUAGAUCAGUGUGUUUAAAAAGGUGGACCAGAUGAAAAUGUUAAAACAGAUGUUAUUCCUUUGAUGAGAGACUCAUUUUUGAAACAGUUUACUAAGAGCCACGUGUAUAUGAGACUACCAAUUUCAGGAUAGGAAAUGUUAUGCAAAGAACAGAAAAGAAAUAAAUUUAUUUGAAGUUCUUGUGGGGAGAACCUCUAGGGAGAGAAGUCACCGGUAGGAUGAGUUCUAUAUUGUUUGCUUACAUAGUCUUUUGUGUUAAACUCAUACUGUACUGUCUAAUUUGGCCCCAAAUGGUUAGUGAUAUACAUGGUGAGCUAAAUUUUACUUUUAUUCUCACUAUUGUCUUAUUAGUUUCAAGGAACUAGUAUCCAACUAUUCAUCAGGCUAUUCAAAUGCGCAACUGCAUUAAAAAGUUAUUUUUUGCAUGAUUUCUUGUGUUUGACAUUAUAGAUGUGUCAAAAUUCAAAUUCAAUUUAAGAAGUAUAGAUUUUUUGUUCUAUUUUUGUUCUAUACAUUAUUGCAUAGUAUGGAUAGCAUAUAAUAUUAUGAAUCUGUUCAUGUGUUUGUUCUUGUUUAAUCAAGAGUAAAAUCCUGAUUUUUGUGAAGAGACUGUAGCAAUAUCAGAGAAGAAACUGUGUCAGAACAUUAGAGAGAGCUAUUUGAGUUAUUCAAGACAGAUGGUGUCCUGCCAGUCUUAUGUCCGUAAGUCCAAUUGGACUAUGUGGAAAAUUCAAAACAGAUUUCUCAAUGUCUUUUUCAUUAGUUGAGAGCUGCUGCAAUUUUAAUCAGUGACUUGUCAGGAAAAUAACUUCAGGCAUCACAUCGCUGCUUUUAAUGCCUUCUCCCACAAGAAGACACCUGUAACUGGCUCUCCUCUCACAUCUAAUUUGGCACACAUUUGUUGUACAACAGUACUUAUCCUGACCCUAACUGUAAUUCUUGCAUUAAUAUUUAAAGUAGCUCUUUAGAAAAGGUACAGAAAAGAAAAGCUGAGGUCCAGAGGAAGAAUCACUAGUGACAGCUUGGAGAGGGGGAGAAAUAUCCUGUACUUUUGAAAGAUGGAUAAACAUAUCCAGUGCACCAAACCCUCUGUAUUAGGCUGCUACAGGAAAAUUAGCACAAGGCAAUUUGCAUGAUUGUUAAUAUUUUAGGAAUGGUUGAUUGAUUUGUUAGAUUUAUAUCCUCCAGGGACUAAAAAUAGUUAGUUACAUGGGGAUCUCCUUUCAUUUUAGGUAGAUUGGGCUGAGAUAAAUUAUGGACCUAGACCAAUAUUUUAGCCAUUGUACCAUACUGGUUCUCCAGUGAUUGCUUAUAAACCUUUUGGCAUAUGAGUUUUUUUUAUUUCUGAAUGAUAUUACAGGUAAUCCUCAA